rnacentral:rRNA from 1 species
CCUACGGGAGGCAGCAGUGGGGAAUAUUGCGCAAUGGAGGAAACUCUGACGCAGCAACGCCGCGUGGGUGAAGAAGGUCUUCGGAUUGUAAAGCCCUGUCGGGAGGGAAGAAAAGCACAUGGUGAAUGUGUCUGACGGUACCUUCGAAGGAAGCACUGGCUAACUCCGUGCCAGCAGCCGCGGUAAUACGGAGAGUGCAAACGUUGUUCGGAAUUAUUGGGCGUAAAGGGCGCGUAGGCGGCUUGGUAAGUCAGAUGUGAAAGCCCUGGGCUCAACCCGGGAAGUGCGUUUGAAACUGCUAAGCUUGAGUGCAGGAGGGAGAGGUGGAAUUCCAGGUGUAGGAGUGAAAUCCGUAGAUAUCUGGAGGAACACCGGUGGCGAAGGCGACCUCUUGGCCUGAAACUGACGCUGAGGCGCGAAGGCGUGGGUAGCAAACAGGAUUAGAUACCCUGGUAGUCCACGCGGUAAACGAUGCUCACUGGGUGCUGGUGGCAGACGCUGUCAGUGCCGUAGCUAACGCGAUAAGUGAGCCGCCUGGGGAGUACGGUCGCAAGAUUAAAACUCAAAUGAAUUGACGGCUGAGAGAGCGAGACGACACGAGGGAGGAGG